UUAGAAAUGUUCUUUUCCCUCUUACAUUACCUACUCCACUGCUUCCUAGAGUGGGUUUUUCUGUUUUGCUGUUUCUUCUCUGGAAACCUGGACUUCCACAAAGGCUCUGUGCCCCACGGUGGGUGAUUGUCUCAUGCAAGGCUGUCAGAGGGUCUGGACUUUAGUGGAGAGGGGCUCAGCUGGUUCCUUCCAGGGUCCACAGCUGGUGCUGAGGUCUUUCGGCCUAUUACCCAAUACACAGGUAGGUGAGAUUUCUCUGGGUUCCUGGGUGUAGGGUACUAAAUGCCUUACCUCCUUCAUGGACACUUUUGUUUCUAGAAAGAUGCUGGUACUUGUUGUUGGGAGGGUGAGUGGACAGAAAGUGAGGGGCACCUUAUGAAGCCAUGAUUCUGUUGUCACUUCUGGCUUAGCUUCUUUGAAUGACUCAGAGAAAUUCUUUAUGUUAGAUUUAACCAGAUGGAUUGCUAAUAUGUGACCAUUUCUUCACCUCUAAAAAUGACAGUAUUAUAUUGUUCAACCUAAUAUUCUGGAUAAUUUUUUAGAACAAAUAUUUUAUGCCAGUUCAUAGUUUAUUUUCAAAUUUCCUUUAUAGCUUCCUUUGAGUAAGAUGUAUUAAAUAUGAUGUAAUCAAAUUUAUUAAUACUGUUGUGUAAGAUUUUGUAGUUCAUGGGUUUUGUUGUAAGAGAGUUUUGCCUACAUGUUCCCUACUGAUCAGUAAUAAUGCAACUCUGUUUUCAUAUAGCAUACUAGGAUAAUGUUUCUUAGCUUUUGUUCUUCCAGAUAUAUUGGGUUGGCCAAAAUAUUUGUUCCAGUUUUUCUGCAACAUCUUAUGGAAAAACCUGAACGAACUUUUUGGCCAACCUAAUACAUGGUUAAGCUACUCAAAAUUUUCCUUUUCUGGUAAACUAUUACUUACUUGGAUAGUUUCAGCUCCUUUUAACAUUUGUCAAUAUCAAGCUGUUGUCUUUGUGAUUCCAUUUUUUUUUGCUCCCACAAAGAAGCAAAAGUUGGUGUUACUUCACAUGACUUAUUCAUUAACCAUGAGCAAAGCUGACCAUCCUGUCCUUGAGGUGGGGUUGCUGGCUGAGACCAGGCUCAGUCAUGGACACAGUGACGUAGUCUCAGGUACAGGACCGGUGAUUUAAUUGCUGCCUCAACAGCAUUCAAAGUAACCAAGUCAUUGGGCUCACUUGUGGAA
rnacentral:lncRNA from 1 species